CCUGCAGGGGAAGGCCUCGGAGGCCAGGGAUUUGCAAGCAGGGGGAGGGGAGGGGAAGAAAAGGCCUCUGAUUUUCCUGGUCUGGGCUCCUCUCCCCUGGGGAGGGGCCCGGGGACUUCUGCUUGCCCCUGGGUUGAAGUCAGGAUUAGAAGACAGCGCCGGGCCAGAGGUGUGUGCAGUUACUGAAGGCGUCCAGUGUUCCCCGCCAGGCCUGCAGUUCACAGGACCCCGGUGCCAGGAAAAGGGACACAAUUAGAGUUCAUUUCCCUUGGCCUUUUUUGGGAGGGUGGGGGAGGGGUUACCAACUUUUUUUCUUUUAAGGAAAAGCCCCUGGAAAAACCUGGGAUUUUAACCGCUUUGUUGUUGCGAGGAACUCCUAGGCGAAGCCGGGGCUGGAGCUAAUCAGGCUGAGCGCAAGAAGGCAGAGGACUCGGGGCAGACUGUUUGGUAGAAAGUCGGAGCUGGUAUUUUGCACGUAAAGCCUGGUAGCCGGGCAGAUCUGCUGCUGGGGCUGAAAGCUUGUGGCAUUCACACAAGGGGGCUGGAGCCCAAACCAAAGUGCGAGCAAGAAAUACUAUCAGCCAGAGGAUAAAACGAACAGUAUUGCAGGAAGCCCGAGCACCCUUCGUAUUCUUGGCUUUUAGGGGAACCCUUUGUCACUGGGAGUGUUUUGUGGGUUAGAGAAUAAAUUAAUAAGCACAAUUAUACCCAUCGAGUGACCUGGCCUAUCUGUCUCUCCAUCUCCCCAUCCAUUUUCCUGCGACCCUUUGCACUAGUGCAGCUGACUCUCGGGGGUUUCUGUGCUCACCGACUUCAGCUCCAAGAUUUCUUUCUUUCUGUCCUUCCCCACAUGUGCAGAAAUUUUUUUUGCAAAAACCCAAGGCGUUCCAGUGGCAUCCCUGCGCUGCCAAGAGACACUAACCGGGCAGGGACCGUUUAAAAUUUAAGCUGGGGUGUCUCUUGGCUGUUUCCAAGUUUAAGGGCUCUGACUUCACAGGGUAUAAGUAUAGCUGAAAAAUAAGGGAUGGUGUGUCUGAAUGUGGAAUGGAUCAAGAAGAUAAAUUGCAUAAAAUCAGAACCAGUCCAAUCCCACACUUGCUAUUUGUUAUAUAGAGAAGAAGUAAAUGGAAUUCACAUGUCGAGUAUUAACUGGUUGUUAGUCUGUAAGAUAAUAUUAACUUUAGUGCUUUAUGGUUUACUCCAGUUUUCCAAAGGCAGCUCCAGGACGGAUCCAGCCUGUAAUUUAGGAUGGCACAUACUGUGCGAAUGAGGCUUUGGCACAAGGGCCUACCCAACACAUCAAGGUAAACCACAGCAAGCUUUCAAGAGCUACCACUAUACUUCUCUGUCAAGGACUUCAAAGGAGCUUGUAAAAACUAAAAUGCAGAAUACCCUGGGGAGAAAUAGCAUCUCUUGGAGAAAAAUGUCACUUUGUAGAUAGUUGAAGCCAUGAUUUAGCCCAAUUUUUAGGGAGGAAUACUAGGAGGUCUGAAGAGGUGGAGGAAUUUGCCGAAGGUCAGUUAGCAAGUCAGUGGCAGAGCUGGAGCACAGAUACGCUGACUCAAUGGGGAACGCCCCUUAACUUCAAGGAUUACAUACAACGCUUUAAGUCUCUAAGAGUUCAUUGUGGGAGAAAUCCUGGGCUUCUGAAGUCAAAGGGAACCUUGACUUUAACUUCAGGAAAGCAGGAUUUCACCCACAGAAAUUAAAAUCAAGUAUGGUUCUGCUGAUGAAGGCGUGGGGCCCUGGCUGCUCUGUGGCUAAAAUCACACAUGGCUUUAGGACUGCAUUGCUGCAUGUUGUAGUGCCUAUCUUUUACGUGCCUGGCAUGCUUCUAUGCAAUGGACAGAGCCCUGUAGAUGCAUACUAGGCAUACCCUGAACAUGUCUAAUGGUGAUGUCGGCUGGGACACGCUUAGUUUAUCCAGGCCCCGGGGUUUAGACAUGAGAUAGGUGUUGAACUGCUCAGCACCAGUGGAGACAUUUCCAGCAUUUGUAGAAUCAGGAUGUUGAGAGAACAUUACUAGUGAAAAGCUAGAGGAGAAGUGGAGGCUGUCAGGACUGCACUUUUGGAUUUAGGCAUCUAAAUGCUUUAGGUUUUAUUUUUGGUGCCUGAGUUCCUUUGUAGCUCUAGCCCUUCUUACCUGCGCCAAAAUCCUUAUGAAGCCAAUAAGAGUCUGUGCCUUCGAUUCUUGCAUUUGCAAAAUGGCAAUAAUGGAGGUGAACAUUCACACUUGUAAAACACAGAUUUGGAUGGCACUAAGGUAGUGCAAAACUACUGCAAAUGAAUGCAGAACUAUGGUCUGCUGUUGAAGUCAGACAUACUCUCAGACCAGUCAGUGAAAGGCUGCUGAGUCAAAAGGGCAGCAAGCCAACUAUUUUCCAUUUCCCCCCC